GAUGAACGCUGGCGGCGUGCUUAACACAUGCAAGUCGAACGGGAAACCUUUUAAAGAAGCUUCGGCAAAUUUAGCUGGUUUCUAGUGGCGGACGGGUGAGUAACGCGUGGGUAACCUGCCUUGUACAGGGGGAUAACAGUCAGAAAUGACUGCUAAUACCGCAUAAGCGCACAGGACCGCAUGGUCCAGUGUGAAAAACUCCGGUGGUAUAAGAUGGACCCGCGUUGGAUUAGCUAGUUGGUGGGGUAACGGCCUACCAAGGCGACGAUCCAUAGCCGGCCUGAGAGGGUGAACGGCCACAUUGGGACUGAGACACGGCCCAGACUCCUACGGGAGGCAGCAGUGGGGAAUAUUGCACAAUGGGGGAAACCCUGAUGCAGCGACGCCGCGUGAAGGAAGAAGUAUCUCGGUAUGUAAACUUCUAUCAGCAGGGAAGAAUUAGGACGGUAC
rnacentral:rRNA from 1 species